GAUGAACGCUGGCGGCGUGCCUAAUACAUGCAAGUCGAGCGAACGGACGAGAAGCUUGCUUCUCUGAUGUUAGCGGCGGACGGGUGAGUAACACGUGGAUAACCUACCUAUAAGACUGGGAUAACUUCGGGAAACCGGAGCUAAUACCGGAUAAUAUUUUGAACCGCAUGGUUCAAAAGUGAAAGACGGUCUUGCUGUCACUUAUAGAUGGAUCCGCGCUGCAUUAGCUAGUUGGUAAGGUAACGGCUUACCAAGGCAACGAUGCAUAGCCGACCUGAGAGGGUGAUCGGCCACACUGGAACUGAGACACGGUCCAGAAUCCUACGGGAGGCAGCAGUAGGGAAUCUUACACAAUGGGCGAAAGCCUGACGGAGCAACGCCGCGUGAGUGAUGAAGGUCUUCGGAUCGUAAAACCCUGUUAUUAGGGAAGAACAUAUGUGUAAGUAACUGUGCACAUUUUGACGGUACCUAAUCAGAAAGCCACGGCUAACUACGUG
rnacentral:rRNA from 1 species